rnacentral:rRNA from 1 species
UGACACAGGGAGGUAGUGACAAUAAAUAACAAUGCCGGGCCCUUUUGGGUCUGGCUUUUGGAAUGAGAGAAACACAGAAUCCACAUCGAGGAUCAAUUGGAGGGCAAGUCUGGUGCCAGCAGCCGCGGUAAUUCCAGCUCCAAUAGCGUAUAUUAAAGUUGUUGCGGUUAAAAAGCUCGUAGUUGGAUUUCUGCCGAGGACGACCGGUCCGCCCUCUGGGUGAGCAUCUGGCUCGGCCUGGGCAUCUUCUUGGAGAACGUAUCCGUACUUGACUGUAUGGUGCGGUAUCCAGGACUUUUACUUUGAGGAAAUUAGAGUGUUUCAAGCAGGCAUUUGCCUUGAAUACAUUAGCAUGGAAUAAUAAGAUAGGACCUCGGUUCUAUUUUGUUGGUUUGAGAACCAAGGUAAUGAUGAAUAGGGACAGUUGGGGGUAUUCGUAUUCAGUUGUCAGAGGUGAAAUUCUUAGAUUUACGGAAGACGAACUACUGCGAAAGCAUUUACCAAGGAUGUUUUCAUUAAUCAAGAACGAAAGUUAAGGGAUCGAAGAUGAUUAGAUACCAUCGUAGUCUUAACCAUAAACUAUGCCAACUAGGGAUCGGCAGUUGUUCACAUAACACUGUCGGCACCUUAUGAGAAAUCAAAGUCUUUGGGUUCCGGGGGGAGUAUGGUCGCAAGUCUGAAACUUAAAGAAAUUGACGGAAGGGCACCACCAGGAGUGGAGCCUG